rnacentral:pre_miRNA from 1 species
CAUGUAAUCUCUCCGUCCAACGAAAGAUAUUUCAAGUUUGUCAAAAUUUGAAUGUAUGUAGACAUGACUUAGUGUAUAAAUGCAUUCAAAUUUAAUCAAAGCCGAGACAUCCUUUGUUGGAUGAAGGGAGUAUAUC